rnacentral:rRNA from 1 species
UACGGAGGGGGCUAGCGUUGUUCGGAAUUACUGGGCGUAAAGCGCGCGUAGGCGGCUUUGUAAGUCAGAGGUGAAAGCCCGGAGCUCAACUUCGGAAUAGCCUUUGAGACUGCAUCGCUUGAAUCCGGGAGAGGUGAGUGGAAUUCCGAGUGUAGAGGUGAAAUUCGUAGAUAUUCGGAAGAACACCAGUGGCGAAGGCGGCUCGCUGGACCGGUAUUGACGCUGAGGUGCGAAAGCGUGGGGAGCAAACAGG